CCUACGGGUGGCAGCAGUGAGGAAUAUUGGUCAAUGGGCGGGAGCCUGAACCAGCCAAGUCGCGUGAGGGAAGAAGGUACUGAGUAUUGUAAACCUCUUUUGCCAGGGGACAAAGGCGGCCACGGGUGGCCGUAAGAGGGUACCUGGAGAAAAAGCAUCGGCUAACUCCGUGCCAGCAGCCGCGGUAAUACGGAGGAUGCGAGCGUUAUCCGGAUUUAUUGGGUUUAAAGGGUGCGUAGGCGGGAUGCCAAGUCAUCGGUAAAAAUGCGGUGCUCAACGCCGUCGAGCCGUUGAAACUGGCGUUCUUGAGUGGGCGAGAAGUAUGCGGAAUGCGUGGUGUAGCGGUGAAAUGCAUAGAUAUCACGCAGAACUCCGAUUGCGAAGGCAGCAUACCGGCGCCCUACUGACGCUGAGGCACGAAAGCGUGGGUAUCGAACAGGAUUAGAUACCCUUGUAGUC
rnacentral:rRNA from 1 species